rnacentral:rRNA from 1 species
UACGAAGGGGGCUAGCGUUGCUCGGAAUCACUGGGCGUAAAGGGUGCGUAGGCGGGUCUUUAAGUCAGGGGUGAAAUCCUGGAGCUCAACUCCAGAACUGCCUUUGAUAUUGAGGAUCUUGAGUUCGGGAGAGGUGAGUGGAACUGCGAGUGUAGAGGUGAAAUUCGUAGAUAUUCGCAAGAACACCGGUGGCGAAGGCGGCAUCCUGGACCGAUACUGACGCUGAGGAGCGAAAGCCAGGGGAGCAAACGGG